ACUUAACGUUUAAUAUUUUUAAAAGGAGUGAGUCAUAAUUGUAAAAGCAAGCUGUUUAUUAACAGAUCCUUGAUCAGUUAGUUAGCUCCAAACUUGUUUUUUUGAAGUUU
rnacentral:sRNA from 1 species